GAGGGUAUAGCUCAAGUGGUAGAGCGCAUGCCUGAGGUCCCGGGUUCAAUCCCCAGUACCUCCA
rnacentral:tRNA from 1 species